ensembl:snRNA U1 U1 spliceosomal RNA
AUACUUACCUGGCAGGGGAGAUACCAUGAUCAAGAAUGUGGUUCACCCAGGGUGAGGCUCAGCCAUUGCACUACGGUUGUGCUGACCCCUGCGAAUUCCCCAAAUGUGGGAAUCUCGACUGCAUAAUUUCUGGUAGUGGGGGACUGCGUUUGCGCUCUCCCCUG